GUUGUACUCACUUUUGUGAGAAACUCUAUAUAUAUAUAUAUAUAUAUAUAUAUAUAUAUAUAUAUAUAUAUAUAUAUAUAUAUAUAUAUAUAUAUAUAGAGUUUCUCACAAAAGUGAGUACAAC